rnacentral:rRNA from 1 species
UACGGAGGGGGCUAGCGUUGUUCGGAAUUACUGGGCGUAAAGCGCACGUAGGCGGCUUUGUAAGUUAGAGGUGAAAGCCCGGAGCUCAACUCCGGAACUGCCUUUAAGACUGCAUCGCUUGAACGUCGGAGAGGUAAGUGGAAUUCAGAGUGUAGAGGUGAAAUGCGUAGAUAUCGGAAGGAACACCAGUGGCGAAGGCGGCUUCCUGGACUAAUACUGACGCUGAGGUGCGAAAGCGUGGGGAGCAAACAGG